ACGGGCACUACGGUGCUGAAGUGGUUAAUGCCCUGCUUCCAGGAAAAGCCUCUAAGCUCUAGAUAACACUGAAUCGUACCCCAAACCGACACAGGUGGUCAGGUAGAGAAUACCAAGGCGCUUGAGAGAACUCGGGUGAAGGAACUAGGCAAAAUGGUGCCGUAACUUCGGGAGAAGCACGCUGGCAUGUAGGUGAAGUCCCUCGCGGAUGGAGCCGAAGCCAGUCGAAGAUACAGCUGGCUGCAACUGUUUAAUAAAAACACAGCACUCUGCAAACACGAAAGUGGACGUAUAGGGGUGUGACGCCUGCCCGGUGCUGGAAGGUUAAUUGAUGGGUCAGCCGCAAGGCGAAGCUCUUGAUCGAAGCCCCAGUAAACGGCGGCCGUAACUAUAACGGUCCUAAGGUAGCGAAAUUCCUUGUCGGGUAAGUUCCGACCUGCACGAAUGGCGUAAUGAUGGCCAGGCUGUCUCCACCCGAGACUCAGUGAAAUUGAACUCGCUGUGAAGAUGCAGUGUACCCGCGGCAAGACGGAAAGACCCCGUGAACCUUUACUAUAGCUUGACACUGAACAUUGAACCUUGAUGUGUAGGAUAGGUGGGAGGCUUUGAAGUGUGGACGCCAGUCUGCAUGGAGCCGACCUUGAAAUACCACCCUUUAAUGUUUGAUGUUCUAACCUGGUCCCGUGAUCCGGGAUAGGGACAGUGUCUGGUGGGUAGUUUGACUGGGGCGGUCUCCUCCCAAAGCGUAACGGAGGAGCACGAAGGUUAGCUAAUCCUGGUCGGACAUCAGGAGGUUAGUGCAAAGGCAUAAGCUAGCUUGACUGCGAGAGUGACGGCUCGAGCAGGUGCGAAAGCAGGUCUUAGUGAUCCGGUGGUUCUGAAUGGAAGGGCCAUCGCUCAACGGAUAAAAGGUACUCCGGGGAUAACAGGCUGAUACCGCCCAAGAGUUCAUAUCGACGGCGGUGUUUGGCACCUCGAUGUCGGCUCAUCACAUCCUGGGGCUGAAGUAGGUCCCAAGGGUAUGGCUGUUCGCCAUUUAAAGUGGUACGCGAGCUGGGUUUAGAACGUCGUGAGACAGUUCGGUCCCUAUCUGCCGUGGGCGUUGGAAGAUUGAGAGGGGCUGCUCCUAGUACGAGAGGACCGGAGUGGACGCACCGCUGGUGUUCGGGUUGUGAUGCCAAUUGCAUUGCCCGGUAGCUACGUGCGGAAGAGAUAAGCGCUGAAAGCAUCUAAGCGCGAAACUUGCCUCGAGAUGAGUCUUCCCUUGGACCUUGAGUCCACUGAAGGAACGUUUAAGACUAAGACGUUGAUAGGCUGGGUGUGUAAGCGUAGCGAUACGUUGAGCUAACCAGUACUAAUGAUCCGUGAGGCUUAACC
rnacentral:rRNA from 1 species